rnacentral:lncRNA from 1 species
UCACACCCAGCAUCUUCUCACCCUUCACAGAUGUCCUUCCGAACCACUUGUACUCACCCACUCUGCACACUGCAUUGUGACCCACUUCCAUUCCUCCUGGAUGACUCGGGAAAAAAUAUUUUUCCACAUAAUUCUCCCUAUACCACAUAAGAGGAAGCACUCUUACAGCCCAUUGAGUGCAGCCAAUAAGUGUCAAAGAUACUCAUCCAAGGUAAAAAGAAGAGGCUCUUAAUACUGUUCAAAGCUCUAUACCUUCUCUCAACCAAACCUUCAGAAAUUUGAAAGAACUGGGGAGGGAGUAGAGAGGAUGAAAGAGCACUAAGAGAAUUUGCCUGCAGUGUCUUCUUCCCACCUCCCUGUUGAGUGCUGAAACAUCUGCUUAAAAAAAAGGUAAGAAUACGUAUAUAAUAUAGACAUUGCUUCACUCUGCUGACUGCAAGUUUGGGAGUAGGGUUGUGUCAGCAGGCGCUGGCAUGAUCUACUGUGUAUGUGACUUUUCUACCCUAUGCCCUAGAAAGGAGGGUGUCAGGGGAGAACUGGGCUGUGGACACAGGGAGCAUAUUG